UACGUAGGGUGCGAGCGUUAAUCGGAAUUACUGGGCGUAAAGCGUGCGCAGGCGGUUCGUUGUGUCGGCUGUGAAAUCCCGAGGCUCAACCUCGGGUCUGCAGUCGAUACGAGCAAACUAGAGUGUUGCAGGGGAGACUGGAAUUCCUGGUGUAGCGGUGAAAUGCGCAGAUAUCAGGAGGAACACCGGUGGCGAAGGCGGGUCUCUGGGCCGACACUGACACUGAGAGACGAAAGCUAGGGGAGCGAAUGGG
rnacentral:rRNA from 1 species